CCCUUAGAUGUUCUGGGCCGCACGCGCGCUACACUGACGAAGUCAGCGAGCACCUCCUUCGCCGAAAGGUGCGGGGAAUCUUGUGAAACUUUGUCGUGCUGGGGAUUGAUUUUUGAAAUUCUUGAUCAUCAACGAGGAAUUCCUAGUAAGCGCAAGUCAGCAGCUUGCGUUGAUUACGUCCCUGCCCUUUGUACACACCGCCCGUCGCUACUACCGAUUGAAUGGUUUAGUGAGAAUUUUGGACUGGAACUCCCUUGCUCAGCAAUGGGCGAGGGGGAGUCCGGGAAGCUAUUCUAACUGUAUCAUUUAGAGGAAGUAAAAGUCGUAACA
rnacentral:rRNA from 1 species